UAUCAGGUUAGUCUGUGAUUCGUAGUGGUUUUGCACCUCUAGUCAGUAGACUGAGUCUUGUAAACUACAGGCUUCAUUAAAAAAAAAUGUUUUAAAAGUACAAACUUGGGAAGGUGAGCUGUAAACAUCCUAGAGAAGGGCAUGUGCAUAUGGUUGGACUUCCCAGACCAUCUGUUGCCAGCCAUUGUAAUUCUGCAUUCUGUAG